GAUGAAGAACGUAGUGAAACGCGAUAUGUAAUGUGAAUUGCAGAAUUCAGUGAAUCAUCGAAUCUUUGAACGCACAUGGCGCCUUCCAGUAUCCUGGGAGGCAUGCCUGUCCGAGCGUCGUUUCAACCCUCGAGCCCCCGUGGCCGGGCGUUGGGGAUCUGCCCAGGCAGUCCCCGAAAACCAGUGGCGGACCCGUUACAGGCCCUUCCCUUGCGUAGUAGCAUUCGCCUCGCAUCGGGAGCCGGCGGGCUUCCAGCCUCUAAACCCCCAUCAAGUCCGCCCCGGCGGCACCAAGGUUGACCUCGGAUCAGGUAGGAAUACCCGCUGAACUUAAGCAUAUCAAAAGCGGAGGA
rnacentral:misc_RNA from 1 species